ACAUAUUUUCACGAGAUUGAUCCCUCCCCAAUCUAUCUGCCCACGCGAUUCUAGGCUCCCCAAUUUUUCUUUUGUCGUGUGUGUAGGUGUUGUGGUGGAGGCAGGAAGCGGUGGUGGCGGCGGCCGGAGAGGAGGAGGCGGCGGCGUUCGAAGAGAAGGCGGGUAAGAUGGUCCCGACAAGGACUGCUGCUCCAACACUGUCGGCUCAAAUCUUGUGGGAAGUGGAGUUCGUCCGCGGCCGAAUCCUCCCGUGGGAGAUGGCCGGUGAUGGAGAUCAGGAGCGACAGUGGAGGCGACUACCGAGAUACUUUCCAUGGUGUAGGAGUUCCUCGUCAUCCCAUGGCAUGACAUGUAGGAGUUCAAUCAGAUCUAGCUGCAUCGUCUUUCUUCGGAGGUAGCGACGCUGCUGGAUCCUUCGAUGUGCCACCCACCGGUAUGUUUCAGACUUCCUAGCCAUUGAGCUGUGAAUUUUCAUUUGUUGAAUUUAGUAUUCUUUUUCUUCUUUGAACUGCCCGUAUUCUUUCUAGGGACGGCCUGAUGCAUGCCGGAACGCUUUUUAACCCAUCCCCAACCCUAGCAACAUAUUGUGCUGCCGAUAAACGAAUAGGUUUGCAGAGUGCAGACGGUGAACGAACAUUUCACGUGUGGCGAACAUACUUAGUGAUCGUGGGGUUUGUGGCACUUUAUGUUAUAAUGUGUUCUGGUUUUGUCUUCUUGAAUUAAUUAUCCGACAAUGUGCGAGAAUGUCUGCUUGAAUCUGUGAGUAUGGGAGUCUGAGUCUGUAAGACUGAGAAUGUGGUUCAAACAAAUUUCUACUGGUGUUCACGAAGUUUAAAUUCUGAAAUGAUUGAUACAGAUCCUUAAAUGCAAAACUGUAUGCAGAACUAUAUGUUCACUAACAUUAUGCAGGCAUCAGAGUUUUUGUUGAGUGAUCCGUACAUGUCCCUUGCAACUUUAAUGAUCCUGCUACUGAAGUUGAUGGAACCAGAUUUGAACACAAACUUGUGGCUCACGGCGUGCACAUAGAGAACACACAAGAGGUCAUUUAUUACGCAUGAUCACAUCCAAUCUGUGCAUUAUACUAUUUGCAUAUGCAUCACAAUCUAAAACUAUUAUCUGCACAUCUCUAGAAUCA
rnacentral:lncRNA from 1 species